CUGUGAGUUCGAGACCAGCCUGGGCUACAAUAGUUCCAGAGAAAAGCUGAAACACCCUACUCCUGUCAAAGGACCACUGAUGAUUAUGACACACUGGUGAAGAAACUGGCCUGCGAUGGUACUGUACUUGAGUAUCCAGAACAUGGAGAAGUAGUGCAGCAACAGAGUUGUUUUGGAGAGACUGGACUGGCUAUGGAUGAUCAGCUAGAGUGAUGUGACAAGGCAUCGGGAUUGCUACAGGUCUUUGACCUAACAUCCUACCUGAGGGUUGUGUAAACAACAGAAUGGGAGCCAGCUUAAUACCAGUUAAACUUCUGACAAGGGAACAAAUACUCAGCUGAUGUUAUCAAUCAUGAAGCCAGAUACAGAGUACACAAAGUUAAACCUGAAUACUGAGGUUUUGUUUAAGAAAAAACAACUCCUACAUUAACA